rnacentral:rRNA from 1 species
CGGGUGAGUAACGCGUGAGGAACCUGCCUCAAAGAGGGGGACAACAGUUGGAAACGACUGCUAAUACCGCAUAAGCCCACAGCUCGGCAUCGAGCAGAGGGAAAAGGAGCAAUCCGCUUUGAGAUGGCCUCGCGUCCGAUUAGCUAGUUGGUGAGGUAACGGCCCACCAAGGCGACGAUCGGUAGCCGGACUGAGAGGUUGAACGGCCGCAUUGGGACUGAGACACGGCCCAG